rnacentral:ncRNA from 1 species
CCCACUGAGUAUAAGCAUAAAAAUAAGUGGAGGAGAAGAAACUUAUAAGGAUUCCCCUAGUAACGGCGAGCGAACCGGGAGUAGCCCAGCUUGAAAAUCGGGCGGCUGUGCCGUCCGAAUUGUAGUCUAGAGAGGCGUCCUCAGUGACGGACCGGGCCCAAGUCCCUUGGAAAGGGGCGCCUGGGCGGGUGAGAGCCCCGUCUGGCCCGGACCCUGUCGCCCCAUGAGGCGCCGUCAACGAGUCGGGUUGUUUGGGAAUGCAACCCAAAUCGUGUAGUAGACUGCGUCCAAGGCUAAAUACAGGCGAGAGACCGAUAGCGAACAAGUACGGUCAGGGAAAGAUGAAAAGGACUUUGGGAAGAGAGUCAAAGAGUGCUUGAAAUUGCCGGGAGGGAAGCGGAUGGGGGCCGGCGAUGUGCCCCGGCCGUAUGCGGAACAACUCUUCCUGGUCUGCCGCUCAGCUCGGGGUGUGGACUGUUGUCGGCCGCGCCGACGGCGUAGGUGCCCCCAGUGGCCGUCGUCGGCACGGCCGGUACCCGCGCGCCGAAAGGCGUGUCCCUCAGGGCACUGUGCUGCAAUGACCCGCGGACUCCCCAUCCGACCCACCUUGAAACACAG